rnacentral:tRNA from 1 species
GCGCGGCUGGCGCGCGCUUGCGCGCUCGCGCGCCGCCGUCUCGCGCGGGCUCGCGGCCGGCGUGCUAUCGCUCGCCGCGUAC